AAUAAAAAAGGAAACCUAAUUUCUGUCCAGUCAAUUGCCACAGCUGGACGCCAUCCCUUGUCUUUUCAUUUAACCUUUCCAGUUUUAAUGAUAGCAAUUCCCCAAAAAUCCUUUACUCUUCUGCUAUCAAUUUCUUUGAAGACCUUCUUUCAUCUUAACUCUGCUGCUCUCAAUCUAGCUUUCUUGGUCUCCGAUUCUCCCUCUCGCGAUGAGCAUGGCCUGGAUCCUCCCCUGCAGAUUGACCAUAAUCCACAACAAAAGAGAUGACAUUAUUCUAUAUUUCCUCGACUGAAUGCUCAGGACAGUACCGGAAGAUUUGGUUACUGUCUUCUUCGGAGUUGUGACAUCUGGGACAAAGAGCUGCUAUUACCAUUUUUCAUUUUUUAUUCUUGAGAUUAGUUAAAGUAGGAAUAUAAUUCUAAGAAAUUCUCCAAAUUGUUAAUUUAAUUUUUGAAGGGAGAUGUAUAUUCCAUAAUUUCCUACAGAAAUCUCUAGUCUCGGCCUGUAAAAAAUUAUCACUAGGACCCGAAUUAGCCUCUUGUAGUAGUUUAUUGUUAAUUUAAUUUUUGAAGGGAGAUGUAUAUUCCAUAAUUUCCUACAGAAAUCUCUAGUCUUGGCCUGUAAAAAAUUAUCACUGGGACCCGAAUUAGCCUCCUGUAGUAGUUUAUAAGCACUCCUGACUAAGAAUUCUCCUGACGGUUCCCUUCUCGACACUUGGAAGUCUUCAUGAACUGUCUCUGCCAAAGGGAUCUAUAGAAUCUUCUUUGCAAUGUCCACAUUAAAGCUCCCGAUGUCCAUAAAUUGCCCUAAAUAGAGAUACGAUCUCUUGUGCCUACCCUCCAACAUAAUCCUUUCUCCAAAACUCCUUUUACUGCCCAACACUCUUCCAGGAGUUAAUCAAGGGGUUGUUGCUUUUGAAUCGACGCUGUGAUUGUGUGAAGUCGUGGUUACUCAAGUGAGGUAAUCCCGAGACUUAGACGGAUCAGUGCGAUAGAGGACUCAGCGGUGACCACGGUAUUAGAGCCACAUGAUUCUCUAUGGCCGGUGAUGGGAUGUCUACUAGGCUUUAAAAGGCGAUUGGACACGUACAAUAAUCGAUGAAUCAACUUUAGGUGGAGCUAACAUAGAUAGAUACCAAGUUUGACAGUCUAUUGAAGGAGCUUCGUGAUGGUGUGCGAGACGAGAUCAAGUCCGAGGUACAGAGCUUAUUUGAACAGUACUUGGGGCACCUAUAUUCUAUAGAUGUUGUAGGAUCAUUUUAAGAUAAGGGUAAGGGUAUCUUGGGAAUCCCUCUUUCUAGGUUUCUAUUAAAGAUACUCAAAUGGUUUGACCAAUGGUGGAAUUUGGAAGUUUAAAAACUCUUACUCGUGGUGGAUGCUUGGAGAGUCAAGUUCAUUCAUAUAAACUUGAUUGCCCCAAAUUUGAUGGCACAAACUAUUGAGGUUGGUGGUCAAAAAUCAAGUAGUACUUUGAGGCUGAGAGAGUAGCUGAUAGUGUUAAGGUUCACAUUGUAAUGCUUCAUUUGGAGGGGAAGGCUCUAGAUUGACACCACUUCUACACUUAGAGGCAAAGGGGUUUUCAUUUGCUAACACGGGAUAGCUACUCUCAUAACUUGAAGGAAUGAUUUGGAUCUAACUUAUUCAGGGAUCGUAUGGUAGAUUUGGUCUCUUUGAAGUAGGUGAACUUUGUUGAUCAAUACCAUGAUGAGUUUGUAAGUUUGUUGAACUAGCUCCAUUUACCUAAGAAUUAUGAAUUGAACAUCUUUAUUAACAGUCUUAAUCUUGAAA